UUUCGUGAUCAAGUGGAGAGUUGGAUUUCAUUGAGAGAUCGUCGCUUCUUCACGUCGUCCACCUCCUAGUUUUGCGAUGAACUUAGUAAAGUUGUGGAGAAUCAAUUUCAAACCCAAGUCAUCCAAGUCCUCUAUAUAUACUCAUCGAGUUCUUCUCUUGCAAGAUAGUGAAUUGACGAAAUCAAUCGCUUGUUCUCACACACAGCAAAAGCACAAAACAUCCAGCAAUCUCUCUCCCACAACUCCCACAAAACAUGGUUAGUGAAGAUUUGAACGUGUCCAACGUUAAUGAGGUCACCGAGACCACCAUCAAUGGGACUGGGACUGAAAUCCAGUUUUGUACUCUUCCUCCGGUGAAAGUAGCGGUACUUGAGCCAAUACGAGCUGCAGUCCCUGAACAGAUGACUACUUGUGCUAUAAGCGUAGGAUGUAUACCAGAAAAGUUUGGUGGGAACGGGUUUAAGGCAUGGCAACAGAAAAUGUGUAUCCUUCUGACCAUGUUGAACCUAAAUAAGUAUGUGAAAGAGGACGCACCAGUCCUCUCACGGGAGAAUAAGGAUCCGCUCUACCUCGCCAGCGUGAAUACGUGGAGCCAUGCAGAUUUUCUAUGCAAGAGUUGGAUUCUGGGCUGCUUGACAGACCCAUUGUACGUUGUAUACAAUACAGUCAAAACUUCUAAAGACCUUUGGGAUGCUUUAGAGAAAAGGUAUAAGGUCGAGGAUGCAGACCUGCUAAAAUAUGCAACGGCGAACUUUUUUGAUUUUAAAAUGGUUGAUUCAAAACCUAUCAUGGAACAAGUGGAAGCGCUGCAAUUACGAGAUAGAUUCUGCGGGGAUGUUGAUUAGUGAAAGUCUAAUGGUCAAUCAUCUCAUUGAAAAACUCCCUCCAAGUUGGUUGGAUUUCAAAAAUUAUCUAUUUCAUAAGAAAAAUGUUAUUUUCCUCAAAGACUUGAUUGUCAAACUGCGAGUUGAAUCACUAAUCCGCAUCGAGAAAAAUGUGGACGUGGUGUAGCAUGGAUAAUAAUGGAUUUGUUUGUGAUGGGUUAUUUAAAGUGUCUACAACAAUGAUGUAACCGAGGCUUUCCACCUCGAAGAAGAAUAAGUCGUAGUCUCGAAAGAGAAGAAUAAGUUGUAGUUGGUUUCUCUUUUCUUAAUAAUGAAAAUUUCAGUUUAGUUUUCA